UUUGAAAAUCGUUUUAUUAAAAUUCGAAAAUGAAACUGUAUUAGGCUAGACCUUCUGAAGACACCAAAAGAAAAGCCUUUGUAGAGAUACACAUUAGUUUCGCAUUGUUGAUGUCAAUUAAUAAUUGUAUUAAAGCGUUUGUUUGUGGCACAAUGGCGGAAAUGAGAACACAGGGCUUGUUGCGUGUUGUUAUAAUCGAAUGUGGGCUGUACUGAUGAGAAUUUAGCGAUGUUGCAAAAUAGAUAAUCGAGUAUAAUACAAGAAAACAUUAUCGCCAUCUGAGUGCUAUAAUUUUUUUGUGUAUAAAGAUCAAAUGAGCAAACGGAGACGUACCUCAUCCGUCCAAAGCCGAGGGCAGGACGACGAUGGGGAUCAAGAGCCAGCAUCUCACGAACCGCAUAGAAAACGGAAGAAAUUAGAUCCGGCGGAGAUAUGUCAUCAACUGUAUGACACAAUAAGGAAUCAUAAGAAGGAUGAUGGCACACUUUUGUGCGAUGCAUUUAUUAGGGUUCCUAAAAGAAGGCAGGAACCAGGUUAUUAUGAGGUUGUCACUAAUCCUAUUGACUUGCUGAAAGUUCAGCAGAAGCUAAAAACUGAUGAAUAUGAAGAUGUGGAUGAUUUAACGGCAGACAUUCAGCUCAUGGUCAACAAUGCAAAGGCUUUCUAUAAGAGAAUGUCACAAGAAUAUCGUGAUGCCUGUGAUCUGUGGGAAUUAUUUAAUUCGACGAAAGCCAGCUUGAUGGAAGCAGAAUCAAAACACACUGAUGACUCGGACCGCAAAGGAAAAAUCAUUCUCAAAGUUGGUAAAAUAGGACGAAGAUCAGCUGCAGACUCCAAAAAGAGUGAGGUAGAUGAUGAUGAUAAUUCAAGCACGCAUGAUGACGAUAUAAAUGUGUACGAAGAAUUAUUUACAACUGUAAUGACUGCAACAGAUGCAGAUAAUAGACCACUUCAUACGGUUUUCCAGUUGCUGCCAUCAAAAAAGCGUUACCCAGAGUAUUACGAGGUCAUUGAAAAUCCUAUAGAUCUGAAAAUGAUUGCAACAAAAAUACAACAAAAUAAAUAUCAAACAUUGAAUGACCUAGAGAAGGAUUUGCUUUUGAUGACUCGCAAUGCUUGCCAAUUCAAUGAACCUGGAUCGCAAAUUUAUAAGGAUGCAAAGGCAUUACGGAAAAUAAUUUCCGGUAGGAAAACUGAGAUUGAACAUGGAAAGCUUGUUGGGGCAAAGGGUAGUGAAAGAACAAGGAGUAAGAGGCUUAGAGGGUCCCAGUCUUUAUCUGCCAUUACAGCUGCCUUAAGAGAUGAGGAGGAAGAAUCUGAAGAUGAAGGCCUUAUAGAAGAAGAUACUGCAGAGGACACUGACAAUCCUCGUUGGCAGUUGUAUGAGACCAUAAAGAACAAUACAAAUAACCAAGGCCACCUCUUAAGUGAACCAUUUUGGAAAUUACCAUCAAGAAGAUAUUAUCCAGACUACUAUAAGGAGAUAAAGAAUCCUAUAUCUCUUUCUCAGAUUCGAAAAAAGCUUCAGAGAGGCGAAUAUGGAACAGUUAGUGAAGUGGCUGGUGACAUGAAUAUCAUGUUUGAAAAUGCAAAGAAGUACAACAGGGCUGAUUCCCGUCUUUAUAAGGAUGCAGCGAAAUUACAAAAAAUAAUGCAAGCUAAAGUUCAAGAACUGUUGGAAUUUGACCAGGAUUCAGAAAGUGAAGAUGAUUCUGAUGAUAGAAGUGCAAGACGUAAAAGUACAAGAAAGUCUGCUUCCUCAACACCAAAGCCAACAAAGCUCCGAGAGGAUAUGCCAUUGAAGAAACGCUUACAUGCACUAUUUAAAUGCCUUAUUGACUAUGUACAUGAAGAUGGACGUCAGCCAGUUCUUAUGUUCAUGGAGAAACCAUCAAAGAAACUGUAUCCUGACUACUUUCAAGUAAUAGCAGAGCCAAUAGAUAUGCUGACAAUUGAAGCAAAUAUAAAGAAUGAAAAAUACAAUUCAGAAGAGGAAAUUAUUGCAGAUUUCAAACUUAUGUUUAACAAUUGCCGUCAAUACAAUGAAGAAGGCUCAAUGAUAUAUGAGGAUGCAAAUAAACUAGAAGAAGUUCUGAUGGAAAAGGUGAAGGAACUAGGAGCCUUACAAGAGAGUGUCAAGAAGACACCUAGAGUGACAAAACCCAGGAAGGUCAGCAAUGCAACAGCAUUAUCACAAAAAUUACGUAUGUUUUAUGAUGCCAUCAGAGACUACAAAGAUCCUAAGAACAGACAACUGAGCUUAAUCUUCCAGAAAUUACCGUCAAAGACUGAGUACCCAGAUUACUAUGAGGUAAUCAAGAAUCCAAUGGACCUGGAAAAAAUUGCUCAAAAACUUAAAACCAAUCAGUAUGAAAGUAUUGAGGCAAUGUCAAGUGAUUUUGUUUUGAUGUUUGACAAUGCUUGCAAGUACAACGAACCUGACUCUCAGAUAUACAAGGAUGCACUGAUGCUUCAGCGGGUUGCAUUGCAGACAAAGAGCCAGCUAAGGGAGGAUGAAGAUGCUGUUCCUGAUGUUGCUGCAGCAGUCCAGGAACUUCUCACUUCACUCUUUAUCUCAGUUUACAAUCAUCAGGAUGAAGAAGGUCGUUGCUUCUCAGACUCUAUGGCUGAAUUGCCUGAACAUGAUGAAGUGGAUGGCACUAAGGUUCGAGCAUUGUCCUUGGACUUAGUUAAGCGAAGACUUGAUAAGGGACUGUACAGAAGACUGGAUGUUUUUCAAGAGGAUGUGUUUGCCUGCAUGGAGCGUGCACGUCGUUUAUCUCGCACAGAUUCACAGGUGUUUGAAGAUUCUAUAGAGCUACAAUCUUACUUCAUCAGGCAGAGAGAUGAACUUUGCCGUGGAGGUGACCUGCUGCAUUCUCCAGCCCUCAAUUACAGUUUACUUCAUCUGGCAGCUGAUGUUGAAACUGUGCGCCAACAAAAGCUGCAGCAGGAGCAGCCAGAGGAUGAAACAGAAACACGAAGCUCGGAGGACUCCAUGAGGGUAAAGGACUCAGAAACACACACGGACACAGGUGGAAAUGCAGCACAAGGAGAUUCACUCAGUUUCAAUCAGCAAAUUUACCAUGUUGGGGACUUUGUUUAUGCGGAACCAAAAGAACGUGGUAUGGAGCCAAGUAUCAUCCAUGUGGAAAGGCUAUGGACCAAUCAGGAAGGAUGUCAAAUGAUGUAUGGGAAUGUAUUCUUCCGCCCAAAUGAAACAUAUCAUGUCACUACUCGAAAAUUCCUAGAAAAGGAGGUGUUUAAAAGUGAUAUACACUUUGCAACACCACUCAGUCAGAUUCUUGGCAGAUGUUGUGUUCUAAGUGUGAAAGAUUACUUCCGCUUCAGGCCAGAUGGCUUUCUUGAUAAGGAUGUAUAUGUUUGUGAAUCAAGAUAUUCAACUAGAGCAAGAGCAUUCAAGAAAAUAAAGGUGUGGCCUUUUACAGUACCGCCUCAUGUAACAUUAGUGCAAAGAGAUGAAGUUCUGGAGGCAAAGAGGAGCAUGUCAGUUUUCCGUGAACGAGUAGAGAAACAUAAAGAAGAAAUAGCUGAGUUAGAGGAGAGAGAGAAGCUUGUUGAGAAAGAAAAGCCUAAUAUAGAAGUAUUCAACCCCCAGGGGCAUGAAGGCCAUACAUAUUAUGAACAGUUUAACACACCAGCAGCUUUGCUAAGGACUGGUGAUUGUGUGUAUGUGCGCUCGGACAAUGGGAAACAGUUAAUACAACAGAUCGAUUCAAUGUGGAUGAACAAACAAGGUGCUUGUUUUUUUCGUGGUCCGUUCAUGGUUUCACCUGUUGAUAUUCCACAGACUCCACAGAAACUUUUUUAUAAACAAGAAGUGUUUCUGAGCAAUGUAGAAGAAACAAAUCCUGUUGAAUUUGUUGUUGGCAGGUGUGCUGUUUUAGAACAUGCAGAAUAUAUAUCGUGUCGCCCAACAGAGAUACCAGAACAAGAUGUAUACGUCUGUGAAUCUGUAUAUGAUGAAUCUCGCCGCCAGAUUAAAAAAUUACCUAGAGAAGGACUUAAAAAAUAUGCUCAUAGUAAUGCUGUAAUAGAAGAUGAAAUAUACUUCUUCCGUAGGCUCAUCAAUCCUCCAAAGAUUGGCAGUGAAAGUGCACAGAACACUGAGGGAAUUAAGUUUGAGACGGACCAAUCGCCAUUGCUGCCCAAGAUUGCAGGUGACCCUGAGGUGAUGACAGAGGACUCUUUAGAUGGUGGUCCACCGUCCGUAGGCUCUGGAGAUACAACCACACCCUCUGCAACACCAGUUGCCAAGAAGAAAUCCCAGGGUAAGAAGCUGGUGACUGGUUACAUCCUUUAUUCGGGAGAUGUUCGGCGAGCAGUCCAGGCAAAUCAUCCUGAUUCAAGUUUUGGUGAGAUCAGCCGAAUAGUUGGAAAUGAGUGGCGUAAUCUUCCAGCCCAGGAGAAGCAGGUGUGGGAAGAAAGAGCUGCAAAAGUUAAUGAAGAAACUGCAGCAAAGUUAGAAAGUGAAAAUUGCCCUUCACCAACUCCAGCAGGAACAGGAAACAGUGGAAAUGCAGGACCAGAUACUAUCUAUGAAUGCUUGUGGGAUAACUGUGACUGGCAGUUUGAGGAUCAGACAGACUGUAUUGACCACUGUGUUAAUGAGAGUUCAGGUCAUGUGCAGGCCCAUUUUGCUUCUGCACCACAAGAUACCGAAUAUCAGUGUCAGUGGCGAGGUUGUGUGAGAUUAAGGAAAGGAAUGCCUCCGUUUCCAAGUGUUUUGCGCUUGGCAAGGCACGUGAAAGAGAUUCACUUGCUCAAAGGAAAUGGCCGCGCUGUUCCUCUUCAAGAACGUAGCAAUGGUUAAUCAGUCUCAGACUGCACAUCAGAAUUAUUCAAGGGAAACACCAUCACCACAUACACAGCCUUCAGUAGGUGGACAGUCUGUCUCAUCAGUAGGCACUAUCCAGAAACCAGUGGAACCAAUAUUUGUACCUGUUCCACCCCGU
rnacentral:misc_RNA from 1 species